rnacentral:tRNA from 1 species
GCGGGGGUACCCGAGCCAGGUCUAAAUAGCGGGCCAGAAACUUGGCAGAAACCCUCUAAGACAAGGGGGAGGACUUAAGAUCCUCUGGCGUAGGCCUCCGCGGGUUCGAAUCCCGCCCCCCGCACCA